GACGAACGCUGGCGGCGUGCCUAAUACAUGCAAGUAGAACGCAGUUGCGCACGGGUGAGUAAAGCGUAGGUAAAUCCCUGGUAGCGGGGGAUAACUAUUGGAAACGAUAGCUAAUACCCCAUACUACCAGAUGGACCUGCGUUGUAUUCGCUAGGUGGUGAGGUAACGGAUCACCAAGGCAACGAUACAUAGCCGACCUGAGGAGGUUAUCGGCCACAAUGGGACUGGGACACGGCCCAGACUCCUACGGGAGGCAGGAGGAGGGAAGCUUCGGCAAUGGGGUGAACCCUGGCCGAGCAACGCCGCGUGAGUGAAGAAGGUUUUCGGGUCGUAAAACUCUGUUGUUAAGGAAGCGGUACUUAACCAGAAAGGGACGGCUAACUACGUGCCAGCAGCCGCGGUAAUUC
rnacentral:rRNA from 1 species